ACUGACGCUAAUACCGCAUACGUCCACAGCGAUCAAGGUCGCAGUGGAGAAAGAUUUAUCGCUCCAGGAUGAGCCUGCGGUCCAUUAGCUUUAAUCGUGGGGUAAUGGCCUACGAUAGCUUCGAUGGAUAGCCGGCCUGAGAGGGUGAUCGGCCACACUGGAACUGACACACGGUCCAGACUCCUACGGGAGGCAGCAGUAGGGAAUAUUGGGCAAUGGACGAAAGUCUGACCCAGCCAUGCCGCGUGCAGGAUUGACGGCGCAUAGCGUUGUAAACUGCUUUUCUCAGGGAAUAACUACCCAUUCGUUGGGGGCUGAAUGUACCUGAGGAAUAAGCACCGGCUAACUACGUGCCAGCAGCCGCGGUAAUACGUAGGGUGCAAGCGUUGUCCGGAUUUACUGGGUUUAAAGGGUGCGCAGGCGGUGCGGUAAGUCGAGGAUGAAAUGUCGGGGCUUAACCCCGGCGCUGUUCUCGAUACUGUCGCACUUGAGAAUGGUUGAGGUGCCUGGAACGAGUGGUGUAGCGGUGAAAUGCGUAGAGAUCACUCAGAA
rnacentral:rRNA from 14 species